CUUCUCCGCAACCUCUGGUACAGCGCUCGUAGGGGUCUUCUCAGCUGACUUUUCGAUCUCAUGUUCGACUUCCUGUAAGCCCUCAGGCUCGGCAGGUGUUUUUUCUGCGACCGCAGGCACCACACCCACAGUAGUCUCCUCAGCUGGUCUUUCAAUCUCCGGUUCCACUUUUCCGGCAGUUUCAGGCUCGGUAGGUUUCUUCUCCACGGCCUCUGGUACUGAACUGACAGGAGUCUCAUCAGCUGGUUUCUCAAUCUCUGGCUUGACCUUCUGCAAAACGCCAG
rnacentral:lncRNA from 1 species